rnacentral:lncRNA from 1 species
CCCGUCCCGCGGCCAUUCCAGGGUGGAUCCCGACGGAUCCACACCCUUCCCACAAAACCUCCAGUUUUCCAAGGAAAAACCCAAAACCUCCAUUUUUUCCUUGGGAAUCCCCAAAACCUCCAUUUUUUCCAAGGAAAACCCCAAAAUCUCCAUUUUUCCAAGGAAAACUCCAAAACCUCCAGUUUUCCAAGGGAAAACCACAAAACCUCCAUUUUUUUCCAAGCAAACCCCAAAACCUCCAUUUUUUUUUUUUUGAGGUGAACCCCAAACCCUCCAUUUUUUCCAACCUCCAUUUUUCUCCAAGGAAACCCCCAAACCCUCCAUUUUUUGUCCAACCUCCAUUUUUUCCAAGGAAAGUCCCAAAUUCUCCAUUUUUUUCCAACCUCCCUUUUUUUCCAAGGAAAAACCCCAAAACCUCCAUUUUUCAAAAUAACCCCCAAAACCUCCAAUUUUUCCAAGGAAAACCCCCCAAACCUCCAUUUUUUUCCAGCCUCAAUUUCUUCCAAUCUCCAUUUUUUCCAACCUCCAUUUUUCCAAGGAAAACCUCCAUUUUUUUUUCCAAGCAAAUCCCAAAACCUCCAUUUUUUUUUUGAGGUAAACCCCCAAAACCUCCAUUUUUUGUUCAACCUCCAUUUUUUUCCAAUGUCCAUUUCUUCCAACCUCCAUUUUUCCAAGGAAAAACCCAAACCCUCCAUUACUUCCAAGGAAAAAACCCCAAAACCUCAAUUUUUUCCUUGGGAAUCCCCAAAACCUCCAACUU